UGGGGAAUUCUCCGCAAUGGGCGCAAGCCUGACGGAGCAACGCCGCGUGAGGGAUGAAGGCCUCUGGGCUGUAAACCUCUUUUAUCAAGGAAGAAGAUCUGACGGUACUUGAUGAAUAAGCCACGGCUAAUUCCGUG
rnacentral:rRNA from 1 species